UAAUGGACAAUGGGGGCAACCCUUAUCCAGCCAUGCCGCGUGUGUGAAGAAGGUCUUCGGAUGGUAAAGCACUUUAAGUCGGGAGGAAGGGCAUUAGGUUAAUACCCUGAAGUUUUGACGUUACCAACAGAAGAAGCACCGGCAAACUCUGUGCCAGCAGCCGCGGUAAUACAGAGGGUGGAAGAGUUAAUCGUAAUUACUGUGUGUAAAGCGCGCGUAGGUGGUUCAGUAAGAUGGGUGUGAAAUCCACGGGCUUAACCUGGGAACUGCUUUCAUAACUGCUGAGCUAGAGUACGGUAGAGGGUAGUGGAAUUUCCUGUGUAGCGGUGAAAUGCGUAGAUAUAGGAAGGAACACCAGUGGCGAAGGCGACUACCUGGACUGAUACUGACACUGAGGUGCGAAAGCGUGGGGAGCAAAC
rnacentral:rRNA from 1 species